UACGAAGGGGGCUAGCGUUGCUCGGAAUCACUGGGCGUAAAGCGCACGUAGGCGGCUUCUUAAGUCAGGGGUGAAAUCCUGGAGCUCAACUCCAGAACUGCCUUUGAUACUGGGGAGCUUGAGUCCGGGAGAGGUGAGUGGAGCUGCGAGUGUAGAGGUGAAAUUCGUAGAUAUUCGCAAGAACACCAGUGGCGAAGGCGGCUCACUGGCCCGGUACUGACGCUGAGGUGCGAAAGCGUGGGGAGCAAACAGG
rnacentral:rRNA from 1 species